GGGGGAGUCUAACUGGCAGUCCGAAGCCGAAAAAUAUGAGAGCUUGGCUUCUGAUAUUUUAAGCGGCGGACGGGUGAGUAACGUGUGGGCAACCUACCUUUUACUGUGGAAUAAUCGUUGGAAACGACGACUAAUACCGCAUACGAUUUUCUGAAGGCAUCUUUGGGAAAGGAAAGGAAAUAUUCGGUAAAAGAUGGGCCCGCAUCUGAUUAGCUAGUUGGUGAGAUAAUAGCCCACCAAGGCAACGAUCAGUAGCCGACCUGAGAGGGUGACCGGCCACAUUGGGACUGAGACACGGCCCAAACUCCUACGGGAGGCAGCAGUGGGGAAUAUUGCACAAUGGGCGAAAGCCUGAUGCAGCAACGCCGCGUGAAGGAAGACGGUUUUCGGAUUGUAAACUUCUAUCAAUAGGGAAGAAAGAAAUGACGGUACCUAAAUAAGAAGCCCCGGCUAACUACGUGCCAGCAGCCGCGGUAAUACGUAGGGGGCAAGCGUUAUCCGGAAUUACUGGGUGUAAAGGGAGAGUAGGCGGCAAGGUAAGCGAUAUGUGAAAGCCUUAGGCUUAACCAAAGGAUUGCAUAACGAACUAUCUAGCUAGAGUACAGGAGAGGAAAGCGGAAUUCCUAGUGUAGCGGUGAAAUGCGUAGAUAUUAGGAAGAACACCAGUGGCGAAGGCGGCUUUCUGGACUGAAACUGACGC
rnacentral:rRNA from 1 species